GAAAGGCAGCUCUUAGUCGCAAGCUCGCCUCGCUAAAAUAAAGGGAGCCAUCCGAACGGAGAUCCGGAAGAGAAAGGAUGGGGGGCUACGGGCUGCCGCAAGGUCCAAUCCGCGCCGUUCGGCUAACACGCUCUGCCCAGGGUCCCCGCCGAGAUGCCCAGUGCCCAGAGCGGCGUCUCAGAGCCAGCUCUAGGGAGAAGAGCAAGGGAGGCCCUCAGUCAGCGGUCAGCUCUUUUUGCAGAGGCUGAAAGAAAGGAUGGUUAUCUUUGGAUAACACCAAGACUACAAGUCACUGCUCUGCUUGAGAUAUAUUUGCUAUGAGCAAUGAUAAACGACUAUCUUUUUUUUUUUAAAAAAAAAAAAAGGUUAAAUCAUGACUCAUACAACUGUAAACAUGUCAAAGAUUUAAUUUAACUCACUAAUUAAUCAGGAUGUAUGUAAGGUGAUACAAAUGGUUCAGAGAUGAAUGCAAAAGGCAGACACAUGUGUAGGCAGUCAGGAAUGCUGGGAUGAACUUGCUUAAUAGAUGCUAAACUGGCUUCUUCCACAGUAGGGGAGGGAAGUCAACUGAACUCCCCCAGACAAGGUUCAGUUGUAUGUCUGGUAUCCAUGGGCAAGAAUCACUUGCAUUGCUAUCAAUUCUUUACACCCUAUGGAGUUAUAAAUAGCUUAAAGAAAAGAUCCUCUAGAACUAGAAAACCCAGAAGGGUGUGCAAGAAACACCUAGUUGUUCACUGAAGACACCCAAAAAUCUUUUUGACCCAUUUCAAAGUCUUUCACCAAAAAAGAAGAGUGGAGGCAUCCUCACCCCAUAAUUCUCUUCCAUCUCCACACUUGUCGUGUUGCCUGUGUCCUGGGUUACCAGGAUAGCUUGUUUGUUGUAACUAUCAAAUUGUACCUUUGCUGAAGGAAAUAGCACCAUAAAAUCAUUUGUUGAAAUAUUUAACAGGGAUGGCAGCAGUUGACAAAAAUACUUCAACUCUUAUCAAGGAUUUUCAUCUCUUUCUCAACACAACUGAAAUGUGGUCUUCUGCAAGCCUCAGCUUUUUUUUUUUAUCUCUAAAAUAUGAGGUUAGAUUUGAUUUCUAAGGUUUCUUCCUGUUUUAAGACUGUGGUUGAACACAGAGCUUUUUGCCUCUCCCUGAUUUCACUGAGGCCAUGGGAGAAGAAAACCUAACACUGGCGGCCCUUUCAGGGAUGGGAACAUCACAUCUCCAGGGUCAAUUCUGUCUACCUCUCAGGAGUCGGUUUCCAGCUAACCUCUCGUCCCAGGAACCAGCCCUUUUAAGGUGGAGCCUCUAUUCAAAUAUGUGAAAAGGUGCUCAGCCUCUUUCAAAGUAAAAGGAAUGAACCAAAUUUAAAGUAGAAGCAGAUACCAUUUUUCAUCUGGUGGAUGGGUGAAGAUAAAAGCUUAGUAAUCCUCUGCCGGCCAGGCAGACCAAGUUGGUGCAAUUGUCAAUUUGUUCAUCUCUUUGCAGAGCAAGCUAGCGAUAUGAAUCACACAGUUGGAGUGUACAUACCCUUUGGCCCAGCACUUCCACUCUUAGGUAUUUGUCCUGCAGACAGACCCACCCAUGUGCACCAAAGCAUGUGCACCUGAGUAUUUAAAGUCACAUGUUCGUAGAAGCAAAAACCUGGCGUCACCCUAGAUGCCCGUCAGUAUAUUAAAUCAAGUAUGUUGAAUACAGAGACAGAAUACUGUGCUGCGCAGUUGUAAAAAGAAUGAGGCAGAUGUUUAUGAAUGCAUAUGGAUGGUCUUUGAGGUAUAGUAAGUCCGUUGUGUAAAACUGUGUGUAUUUGUGUAAAAAAGAAGAGUAGGGGGUAUAUAUGUUUAUAUGUACAUAGAAUAUCCCUGGAGAAAUAUACAAGAAGUAGGUCUGUAACUUGUUAAUUUUUUAACCAUGUGUUCAUUUUUAAAUACAUAAAAAUGUAAUUAAAUGGGACAACCCAAUAGAACAAUUGGCAAAACACUUGCACGGGGACUUCACAAAAGAGACCAUCCAAAACACGAGAAAUUGCUCAUUUUCAUUAGUCAUCGGGAAAUGCAAACUUAAACCACAGUGGAAUACUAUUUACGCACCCAGCAGAAUGGCUCACAGGAAAACACACCAAGUGUCCGCAAGCAUAGGGAGUGAGUGGACUGACUGCCAGCCACUGCGGCUGGGAACGUCAUUGUUCAGCCGCCUCAGACAGCCGUCAGGAGCACCCGCUGGAGCUGAGCGUGCAGGUACCCGUGUCCGCCGAAAGACUCGUCCUGGGAUGUCCGCACGGCACUGUCCACAGUAACCCCAAACUGCAAACAAGCUAAAUAUCCAUGAACAACACAAUGAAUAAAUAAAUUGCGCUACAUUCACACAAUGAAACACUGUACAGAAUGCAAGCACAGACCACACACACAAUAGAAGUCAGUCUCACAAAUAUGACGUUGAGUAAAAGAAGACACAAAAGAACAGUAUGUACUAUAUGAUUCUAUUAAUAAAAGGUUCAAAAACAAGCAAAAUCGGUCUUUGGUGCGUGAAGACAGGGCGGGGCCUUGGUUCCCACUGAAGGGUGCUAGGGUGCUAGUAAGACUCUAUGUUUUGAUCUGGGUGCUGCUUGUGUGGGUGCCCGCUCGGUAAAAAUUCACCCAGCUGUGAACAGGUAUGAUCUGUGUGCUCUCUUAGAGUAAACAGUGGGAGAGAAAGAGAGGGAGACUUCCAAAGGUCGUACAGUGGAAAAGCAGAGGUUUGUUCCGGAAGGGUAUUGGGGUUGUUUCUUACUUUUUCCACUGAGUUUGGUGUUGAAUGCAACAGCCAGAGUAGGGAAGCCAGAAGGCUAAAAGUCCACAACCUAUGGGUUUGGACAAGGCCCAGGAUGUUGAAAGAACGCAGAGUGGUGUGAUGUGUCUCUGAACCCCUUUUCAUUGGGCCACCACACCUCUGGCUGUGGGUAGAGCCUGCUGGGGCCCAGGCCUGUGCCCGGGGGGAGGGCUUGUGGCUGGUGGACAUGUAUGGAGCACUUCCUGAGUGUCAGCCUUGGGGCUUGGCACUCUCUGUUCCCUGGAUGUCCCAAGCUCCCUCUCUCAUGCCCUUCAGCACUUGACUCAAAAGGCAUCUUCCUCCCCAGAGCUCUUUCUAAAAUUUCCCCCUCCCUCCCAUUCCUGUGACGUUUCGCUUCCCCUUCCCAGCUUCACCCCUUGUCACCACUCAGCUGACCCCCUACAUCUUUCACUUUGAUACCCCUGGUCUAUCCCUCACCAGGAUGCAAGCCUCGCGAAAGACAGGAGGUUGUUGGUUUUCUCCACUAUUGUCUCCCCAGUGCCUGUCGCACUCAAUAAAUAUGCACAGAAUGAAUGAAUGAAUGAACGUGCUAUGCUUGGUCCUUUCAUAGAUGAAGAAAUGGGCCCAGUGAGGUUAAGCAGUGUGCUCAAGGUCACAGAGCCAGGAAGGGAAAGCCAGCAUUCAGACCCAGAUCUUUCUUCGUCUUUGCUGCUGUCAUACUGCCUUGUACACUCACUUCAACCUCACAUCCCCGAUCCCUUUGUACAGUGAGGAAACUGAGGCUCAGAGUUCAGUGAUGGCCGAGAGGAAGUGGAGCACAGCUGGCCUGCAGACCUCGUCUGUGUGGCUCUGAAGGCCCUGCUCUUCAUCCUGCACCACUCUGCCCCUCCAAGGAGCGGAGGCCAAGCUCCAGCCCAGCGCAGCUCUACACCAAGCCCCGAGGGCCCGCUGUCACCUCCCUCCCCUGCUCCUGCUGCCAGGACCCCACCCACCAAGUCACCUGGAAGCAAGUCGUGCCCAUUGGUGCUCUCACUCCAAUAACUCAGUCCUCUUCCUGUCCUCCUCGCCCCUGUCCCCAAAUCUUGUCUUAAACUCACACUGGUUCAUUCCACAAGUAGUUAAUCAUCCACUCUGUGCCUGGCACCGUGCUAGGUGCUGCAGACCCACGAGUGAGCCAAACCAGACCAAGUUCCUGCCUGCUAUGGAGCUCAGAGACUAACUGAACAAAUAAAUAAGUGCACAGUUAAAACUGGUGUGUUCCUAUAGAGGAAAAGGACGUUGUGUGGUGAGGGAGUAUGCCCAGGCAUCCGGCCUGGUCCAGGGGUCGUGUGGAAGGCUUCCUUGAGGAUGUGAUAUGUGAAAGACAUGUGGGUAUUUGAUAAGCAAAAGGGGGCAAAUGGGGAGGCCCUACGGUGGAAAGCAGCAUGGGGGCCAGUGUGUGGAAGGCAAGCGGGGAGUGGCUUGAGACCAGCCUGGAGAGCUCAGAGGGGACCAGGUUGUGCAGGCUCCUAACAAACAGAUGAGGGAUUCUGGCCACAUCUGAGGGUCAGUGGGAAGCCACUAGAGGAUUUUAUCACAUUUGUGGUUUUCAAAGGUCACUCCAGCUGCUUUGAGGAGAACAGACGGGAAGGGCAAGGAUAGACGCAGGGAAAUUAAUAAAUCUUAAUGGAGCGAUCGAAUUAGAACACUCAGCAUUUUGCAACCACCAUAACAUCAUGAAUGGAUGCUAAACCACUGGGCCAAAGUUCAUUGGAAAAUAGGAUAUUUAGAUAGUCUCCAAGUAUCUUCCCCACAGAUUACUUACAAAGGGAAAACAGCACCUUUAUCUUGGAGAAAUAUAUCACCAGCUCAACCAGUGGUCAAACACAGCAUCACCAAUAACGAGACAAACGGAUGUCUGUGCCUUCUAAGGCGACGCGUUGAGCAGGACGCACACCAGUUCGGCGACACUGCUGCCAGAGAUGCGUCCCCUGGCUCUUUAAGGGCGCAAUCAGAAAAGUCCAGACAGAGACUUCUGCAAAACUGCUGGCCUGUACUCUUAGCACAUGUCAGUGUCUUGAAGGACAAAGAAGAGCUGAGAACCAUUCCAGAUAGAGUUUGCCUUUGAAGAUGGAGGAAGGGGCCUCGGGCCAAGGAAUGCAGGCGGCCUCCAGAAGCUGCAAAAGGCAAAUUAUUCCUCCCCCAGAGCCUCCAGAAGGGAGGCAGCCCUGCGGACACCUCGAUUUUAGGAUUUGACCCCAGAACUGUAAGACAAUAAAUUUGUGUUGUUUUAA